ACAGCAGGAGCGAGGGGGAAACUCAUUUGACAGGAGGUAUGUUUUCGGGAGAAGGCGGAGAUGCUGGGGUGUCGACAUCCACAGCAGGAGCGAGGGGGAACUCAUUUGACAGGAGGUAUGUUUUCGGGAGAAGGCGGAGAUGCUGGGGUGUCGACAUCCACAGCAGGAGCGAGGGGGAACUCAUUUGACAGGAGGUAUGUUUUCGGGAGAAGGCGGAGAUGCUGGGGUGUCGACAUCCACAGCAGGAGCGAGGGGGAACUCAUUUGACAGGAGGUAUGUUUUCGGGAGAAGGCGGAGAUGCUGGGGUGUCGACAUCCACAGCAGGAGCGAGGGGGAACUCAUUUGACAGGAGGUAUGUUUUCGGGAGAAGGCGGAGAUGCUGGGGUGUCGACAUCCACAGCAGGAGCGAGGGGGAACUCAUUUGACAGGAGGUAUGUUUUCGGGAGAAGGCGGAGAUGCUGGGGUGUCGACAUCCACAGCAGGAGCGAGGGGGAACUCAUUUGACAGGAGGUAUGUUUUCGGGAGAAGGCGGAGAUGCUGGGGUGUCGACAUCCACAGCAGGAGCGAGGGGGAACUCAUUUGACAGGAGGUAUGUUUUCGGGAGAAGGCGGAGAUGCUGGGGUGUCGACAUCCACAGCAGGAGCGAGGGGGAACUCAUUUGACAGGAGGUAUGUUUUCGGGAGAAGGCGGAGAUGCUGGGGUGUCGACAUCCACAGCAGGAGCGAGGGGGAACUCAUUUGACAGGAGGUAUGUUUUCGGGAGAAGGCGGAGAUGCUGGGGUGUCGACAUCCACAGCAGGAGCGAGGGGGAACUCAUUUGACAGGAGGUAUGUUUUCGGGAGAAGGCGGAGAUGCUGGGGUGUCGACAUCCACAGCAGGAGCGAGGGGGAACUCAUUUGACAGGAGGUAUGUUUUCGGGAGAAGGCGUAGAUGCUGGGGUGUCGACAUCCACAGCAGGAGCGAGGGGGAACUCAUUUGACAGGAGGUAUGUUUUCGGGAGAAGGCGGAGAUGCUGGGGUGUCGACAUCCACAGCAGGAGCGAGGGGGAACUCAUUUGACAGGAGGUAUGUUUUCGGGAGAAGGCGGAGAUGCUGGGGUGUCGACAUCCACAGCAGGAGCGAGGGGGAACUCAUUUGACAGGAGGUAUGUUUUCGGGAGAAGGCGGAGAUGCUGGGGUGUCGACAUCCACAGCAGGAGCGAGGGGGAACUCAUUUGACAGGAGGUAUGUUUUCGGGAGAAGGCGUAGAGGCAGCAGAUUUCGCAGGAUGAGGAGAGCGGAGGGCGUCCUUUAGAAUUAGUUUUGGGCUUUCUUGUUGGUGCAAGAUUAGAACAGACAAGUCAAUCACAAGGUUGAGCAGGUGGGUAGGCGAGGACUGAGCAGUGGCGACGGAAUCUUCUGAGAUCUGAUUUGGAGCAGCAGCAGCGGUUCUUGUGUUGUUCGGAAGCCCCGACACUCAUGAUUCUAGUUGUACUACGGAUGCACUUGUUAGAUCAGCAUUGAAUAUAUACUAUACUACGCACAAGUUGAAUAUUGUGAUUUGAAUAACUUGAAAUGCCAUGUGAGCUUAUUACCUUCUGAGUCCUCGAUGUGAACGCCGCUAGUUGUUCUUCAGAAACUCGAUAGGAUUCUGUGCGCUUGCCCAUACGAUUAUAUUACAUCAUUGGUUGUGGGUUAGCUCAUGGUUGGAGGCCUUGGAUUGGCUUGGAUUAACGAAUUUUGGGCUAGAAUCCUCAAAUAGAAGCCGCUUAAUGGUAGCUCCCUGACAAAGCUUUGGUACAUCAAAAUUGGAACAAAGAUAAAAUCUUGGUAA